UACGAAGGGGGCUAGCGUUGCUCGGAAUGACUGGGCGUAAAGGGCGCGUAGGCGGUUUGUACAGUCAGGUGUGAAAUUCCCGGGCUCAACCUGGGGGCUGCACUUGAUACGUAUGGACUGGAGUGGGGAAGAGGGUCGUGGAAUUCCGAGUGUAGAGGUGAAAUUCGUAGAUAUCUGGAGGAACACCGGUGGCGAAGGCGGCAUCCUGGACCGGCAUUGACGCUGAACAGCGAAAGCCAGGGGAGCAAACGGG
rnacentral:rRNA from 1 species